rnacentral:rRNA from 1 species
AACGAACGCUGGCGGCAUGCCUAACACAUGCAAGUCGAACGAGACCUUCGGGUCUAGUGGCGCACGGGUGCGUAACGCGUGGGAACCUGCCCUUAGGUUCGGAAUAAAUCCCCGAAAGGGGUGCUAAUACCGGAUAAUGUCUUCGGACCAAAGAUUUAUCGCCUUUGGAUGGGCCCGCGUUGGAUUAGCUAGUUGGUAGGGUAAAAGCCUACCAAGGCGACGAUCCAUAGCUGGUCUGAGAGGAUGAUCAGCCACACUGGGACUGAGACACGGCCCAGACUCCUACGGGAAGCAGCAGUGGGGAAUAUUGGACAAUGGGCGAAAGCCUGAUCCAGCAAUGCCGCGUGAGUGAUGAAGGCCUUAGGGUUGUAAAGCUCUUUUACCCGGGAUGAUAAUGACAGUACCGGGAGAAUAAGCUCCGGCUAACUCCGUG